CACGGGUAAUCCUAGCGUAUGUGGCGCAGGGAGCCCUGUGGACGCACAACUGCUCCUGAGGUGUUGAGAAGGGCUGCCAACUGCGUCGGCCAUUUGUCUACUGCCUCCCCCUGCAUUCUUACUUCUACAGAUUGUAGUUUGGAUUCUAUCGUGCACCGCCACCUCUCAUCCUCUUGCUCCUUUCUUCGGUUCUAGCUUGUGUACUUGUCCAAGUCGCCAUGGAAUGCGAACUUCCACGGAACAAGCCCAAACCCUCGGGUACGUCCUGGGUGUUCGGGAUUCCCGAGGGUCAUUGUGAGCUCAUCAUUCUCUCAGCACACCGUCAACGUCCCAUCCUUAACAUCUUUAAUAAUCUUGUCAAGCUUUGUGGCCGCUUCACGUAACAGGUCAUCGAAGACCAGCGUCCAUCAUCUGGGUUUAUCUCACCUCCAUGAGCGUAAUACCAAUUUUUCGAUCGUUCAGACCAAUCAAUUAUUCUUGGUACGAUACCCCGCUCAAUUAGGUCUUUCUCCAUCUGAUUCCACUUGGGAAUUGCUUUGGCGUAACCACCUCACCCUAGCUUAUGAUAGUACUCCUUCC
rnacentral:lncRNA from 1 species